AUGAAUCUAAUAAGUUGGAAUUGUCGGGGUGGGGGGAAUUCCCGGACAAUUCGUGAUCUAGCGUCUAUGGUACAGUCGCAUUCCCCCAAAUUGGUGUUCUUGUGUGAAACUAGGCAGCAAGCUGAGAAGAUGAGAAGGAAUAGAGGUCGACUUGGCCUUCGGGGCUUUGAGGGUGUUGAUAGCAGGGGCAUGAGUGGUGCUUUGGCCCUUUAUUGGCAUGAAUCAUUGGUAUUGAUGAUAGAUACAUUGAUGCCUUGGUGA
rnacentral:rRNA from 1 species